CUUAUUAAAACCAGGCACUGAAGAUAUCAAUCAGCGUGACCUGACCAGUCCCUGCACUCAAGGAACUCAUGGGUCCAGGUGCCAUGGGCACUUCCCGCUUCCUAAAGGCUUUGGAAGAGACAUUCUCACAGCCCCUACAGGUUUUCAAAUGGAAAUACUGCUUAAAUAAGGAUUAAAGACACAUACGAAACUCAGAUAAAAUAUUUACAAUAUAUAGGACCAGUUAAAAAUGCUUGCUAGGCACAGCACCUGGAUCAAGAUUACCCAUCACAAUUCAGAGUCCUUACCAUGUGUCUGGGAGAGAGCUAAACGCUGGGGAUACUGAUUAACCAUGACGUGGUGCUUGGCCUUCUGGAGGUCACUGUCUAAUGGACAGAACGAAGGGACAGAGAAAAAAAGAAAGCAUAAAAACACUGAAAAAUUGGAGCCUUUCAGCUUCUACGCCUUUCAAGGUACUGUACAGUACAGCACAAUGGAAAAAAGGAAGAAAAUGCAGUCCGCUCCAGGCCGAAUCACGGGUUCCUUACAUGUCUUUCUUCCCUGUACAAUUUUGAGCUCUUUUGAGCCCUAUGAUUUUUUUAUUUUUAUUUUUAAAAUUUUUUGUUGUGAUACUAGCACAAUGCAGAGCACACAGUAAGGCCGCAGUGAAGGAAUCCCACACUUUGGAGGUCCACUUUAUCUACAAGGGCAAGUUUUAUUUUGUUUUCCCUUUUUUAAUGAGUAAGUGACAUAGUCACUAAGUGGAAAACAGGUCUUCUCUAAGGGAAC